rnacentral:rRNA from 1 species
GAUGAACGCUAGCGGCAGGCUUAACACAUGCAAGUCGAGGGGUAUAGUUCUUCGGAAUUAGAGACCGGCGCACGGGUGCGUAACGCGUAUGCAAUCUACCUUUCACAGAGGGAUAGCCCCAGAGAAAUUUGGAUUAAUACCUCAUAGUAUAGCAGUUUCGCAUGAAACCACUAUUAAAGUUCCAACGGUAAAAGAUGAGCAUGCGUCCAUUAGCUAGUUGGUAAGGUAACGGCUUACCAAGGCUACGAUGGGUAGGGGUCCUGAGAGGGAGAUCCCCCAGCUGGUACUGAGACACGGACCAGACUCCUACGGGAGGCAGCAGUGAGGAAUAUUGGACAAUGGGCGCAAGCCUGAUCCAGCCAUGCCGCGUGCAGGAUGACGGUCCUAUGGAUUGUAAACUGCUUUUAUACAGGAAGAAACACUCCGACGUGUCGGAGCUUGACGGUACUGUAAGAAUAAGGAUCGGCUAAACUCCGUGCCAGCAGCCG